rnacentral:rRNA from 1 species
GAUAAACGCUGGCGGCGCACAUAAGACAUGCAAGUCGAACGGACUUAACUCAUUCUUUUAGAUUGAGAGCGGUUAGUGGCGGACUGGUGAGUAACACGUAAGCAACCUGCCUAUUAGAGGGGAAUAACAGUGAGAAAUCAUUGCUAAUACCGCAUAUGCUAACAGUAUCGCAUGAUACAGUUAGGAAAGGAGAAAUCCGCUAAAAGAUGAGUCUACGGCUGAUUAGCCAGUUGGCGGGGUAAAGGCCCACCAAAGCUAUGAUCAGUAGCCGAGCUGAGAGGCUGGCCGGCCACAUUGGGACUGAGACACGGCCCAG